rnacentral:rRNA from 1 species
UUGACCUCGAAUCAGGUAGGAAUACCCGCUGAACUUAAGCAUAUCAAUAAGCGGAGGAAAAGAAACCAACCGGGAUUACCUCAGUAACGGCGAGUGAAGCGGUAACAGCUCAAAUUUGAAAUCUGGCUCUUGCGGAGUCCGAGUUGUAAUUUGUAGAAGAUGCUUUGGGUUGUGGGUUCGGCCUAAGUUCCUUGGAACAGGACGUCAUAGAGGGUGAGAAUCCCGUAUGUGGCCGAGGCCCGCGCCUAUGUAAAGCUCUUUCAACGAGUCGAGUUGUUUGGGAAUGCAGCUCAAAAUGGGUGGUAAAUUUCAUCUAAAGCUAAAUAUGGGCCAGAGACCGAUAGCGCACAAGUAGAGUGAUCGAAAGAUGAAAAGCACUUUGGAAAGAGAGUUAAACAGUACGUGAAAUUGUUGAAAGGGAAGCGCUUGCAACCAGACUUGGGCGCUGCCGAUCACCUUGAGUUUUCUCGAGUGCACUCGACAGCGCACAGGCCAGCAUCGGUUCGGGUGGCUGGAUAAAGGCCGUAGGAAUGUGGCUCUCUUCGGGGAGUGUUAUAGCCUACGGUGCCAUGCAGCCCAGCCGGACCGAGGACCGCGCCUUCGGGCUAGGAUGCUGGCGUAAUGGUUGUAAGCGACCCGUCUUGAAACACGGACCAAGGAGUCUAACAUCUAUGCGAGUGUUUGGGUGGUAAACCCAUACGCGGAAUGAAAGUGAACGUAGGUGAGAACCCCUUUGGGGCGCAUCAUCGACCGAUCCUGAU